UCGACGACGAAAAUGGCCAAAUUAAUUAAAAUAGUUAAUGAAGGGUAUUGUAGCCUUAUAAUUAAGUAUUAUGAUUAUAAUUUGAAUAAUAUUAAGAAAGAAAUUAGGAUUUAUACAUUGUUGGUGUAGAAAAUUCAAUAGAAGGGCAUUUUGGUCUUUUUACAUUAAUGAAAUCAAUUCUUUCUCUUUAUUUGGAAAGUGCCGAUUUUUACUCAUCAACUAGGAAUGAAAUGGCUGCAAAUUUUAUUUCAAAUAUUAGAGAGAAGUCUAGAGAUAAUGCUUUACAAGUAGUUUAACUAAAUGUUGCCAAAUGUCUCCAUUUUUAGCCAUGGAAAAUACUAAUGUUGGGAGACUAAAAAAACAUGAGAUAUCUUCUUUCUUCCUCAUUUUCUUCUCUAAAAAAUCGGCAGCCACCUUUCUUAAAUCACCAUAGCUAUUUUCUCUCACAUUUUGUUAAGUUUAUCGGCGAAUCGAACAUGUAAUCGCGUAAUCAGGACUUUCUCGAGUAAGUAAAGCGAGAGGUUUCUCGGCGAUAGCCGAAAUGGAAGAAAAAAAGGAUCCGAAGUGACUGGAACAUUAAGAUGGAAAAAAGGGCUUAUGCUCAUAAGCCUGUCAGGUAGCAUGCUAAUCACUUAAAUGGCCUAAUUCUCUUAUGUGCUUUAAUGUGAUUAUUAUGUGACAUAUUGCUUGGUAAAUUAUGAUUAAUUAUGUGAUAAAAGACUUAUGAAGUAAAAUAUGAAAAUAAGAUGAAUUAUUGAAUGAUUUGGUAAUGAAGUACGAAAGGGAAGAAUAUGAUUGUGACUAUAAAGAUGGUGAGAUGUAUACAAAUAAGAUUUUCAUGUGAAAUAUGUCUGAUCGACUUGUGAUGACGUCUGAUCUAUCUGUAUGGAUGUGUUAUGUUGGAAAUCGUUGAUAAUAAAGUAUACUUGUCCGUGCUUAUGUCCCGUGCUUGAGUGUGUUCAGUGGGUACAAUUGGCAUGCCAUAGGACAGCAGCACUGCAUUAUCUGUGAUCUUUCGUCUUCUGGAUAACCGAAGCGAAGAUCGUCUGAUAUCUGUCUGAAAUCUGAUCUAUCUGAUAUCUGCUCUGUUUGAUAUGCACCCUCAUGGGUGAUCUGACUAUCUGUUUGCACCCUAAUGGGUGGUCUGUGCGGUGUCCUCUCGAGGACCAUGACCGCGUCUGUAUCUGAUUCUGUUUCUGAUCUGGUCCGCGUACCCUAGUCUGUCACUAAGCACAUUAAGGGGCCAUAUGUGAAAGCUAUGUGAUAGUGUCGAUCAAAAUAUUCGUGAUGAUAUAUGUGACAAUACGUGUAUGAUAAUACAUAAGUUAUAAUAUGAGAUUAGGUGAAACAUCUGUUACAUUAUACGUGAAAAUGGAUUAUGUUACAUGGUUCUGUUGAAUUUUGAAAUAAAUAUUGGAAAUCUGAGACUUGUAGACAUAGUUUAUGACAUAUGGGAAUUUUUUAUUAUUAUACCCUUCUGAUGAUAUAGUUGGAAAUUUGAAGUUGUAAAUGAAGAUUUGACUAUUGGUACAUGUAUGUUGAUACGUGUAAUGACGUCUGUGAUUUGUUUAUGUUAAUGUGUGGAUAUCAUGUGAAAUAUUUGAUGCUUCAUAUGAAUAUUAAUGACUGUUGAUAUGUUCUGGGAUUGACAUUGCCUACUGGUUGGAUUCUGAUAUGUUAGAGAUUAAUAAGACAAUAAUAAUAUGAUAUAUGUGGCAAUGAUUGGUAAAUAAAAUAAUAAGAAUUUAAAGAAUUUUAAGUUGUAUGAUUAUUGCUUGUAGAGAACUUAGGCUAAAGUGUUGGGUGUGCUACAGGUUAGUCGGCAUUGGGGAGUAUAGGUCGAUGUUCAUUCAAGUUUGCGUCAGUGCUGCAUCCUCGUCGGGUCACUGAACGCUAUCUGUGGUAUAUAGUGGUGGCAUGUUUAGAAAUUAGAUUAUGGUAUUCUGAAAUCAAUUGCGUUGUAGUUUAAUGUUGAUGAAUUAGUUUUCGAGGAAAUAUAAACUUAUAUGCUUUUGUAUGUAAGUAAUGGUCUCAAUUGGUUACAAUUAUGAAAUUUUAAAUUGCCAUAUUUGAUGGCACCUCUUUCGUGACA